UUUAGGCGAUUCCUGAACUAAGUUGCUAAUGCAGGAAUUAUCAGUUUUAAUUAUAUGUGAUGUUGGGAUUGUUGGGUUAUUAUUUUGGGAGUUACUCAUACGAGCUUUUUAGCUUACCGGGUUUGUUGUUUACAACCCGGUGCACCAAUUCGUGAUGUAGGGGUUAGACCUGCAGGUGAUGAUCAGAAGGUAGGAGGCAGUGGCCUACGAGCUGGGUUUUGACGAUAUACAAUUAUUUGUAUUUUAUGGUAGUUGUUUUUAAGCUCAUGUAAGCGAAGUAGUUUUUACUAAACUUUUGGAAGUUGAUGUAAUUAAGGAGAUUAAAUGUUUAACUCGGUUGAUGAGUUUAUCGACAUUUAUAUUUCCAGUAUUUGUUUUUAGUUUUGGAAAUUAUUGAGCAGGAUUAUGGGAUAUUAAGAUUUUCAGUUUUAUCAUGCCCAAAUUUUUGAAAUUUUAUCCUUCAAAAAUUGGGGUGUGACAACUAACAUAAACAUGUUGGAUAAAUUGAUCUACAACUUUUGCUUGCAUUGAAGCGCUACCAAAUCAGUUGUAACUUGUAAGUUCAUCCCAGUCUUUGCACAGCAGAAUAUCAUCAACAGUUAGUUCUCCAAUUUCUUAUUUUUUACGUGGCUUUAUCUCGAUCUUAACUCUUUUGUUACUAGUUUCUUCCAUUGCUAAUGGGGCAGCCUUUUUCGCCCUUGGGGAGGGGGGGGGAAAAGAGUAAAUUUUUACUCAAAUAAUCAACAAAGUUUGAUUUUAUAUAUUUGAUAUAAUAUUAAAUUAUAUGAACUCACCGUCGAAUCCUCAUAGAGGAUAAAACCAACAACUUCUGGUACUAAUCGCAAAGCUUUAGUAAACUUCUCAUGAUGGUAACACUACAAGAGACAUUUCAAUUUCAUAAAAUAUGCAUUAGAGUCUCUAAUUUUCAGAUUUGAAAAAGAUGUUUAACUUGAGCCUUAUUAUGAAAAGAAAAAAAAAAAAAACAAUGCAGAACUUACAUACAAGUAGAACAUUGAUAAUUUAAUACUCGAUAAAUUAUAACCUCAAUUAAAUAAUAUGUGUUGUCGGUACUGAAAUGAGGAUUUAGUAUAAAUUUAAUCUCG
rnacentral:lncRNA from 1 species